UGGCUCGAGGACGAACGCUGGCGGCGUGCCUAACACAUGCAAGUCGAGCGGAGACAGUGAGUAGCUUGCUACGAACUAUUUUAGCGGCGGACGGGUGAGUAACGCGUGAGCAACCUUUCCCAGACAGGGGAAUAACACACCGAAAGGUGUACUAAUACCGCAUAAGACCACGGGAUCACAUGGUUCUGGGGUAAAAGAUUUAUCGGUUUGGGGUGGGCUCGCGUCCGAUUAGGUAGUUGGUGAGGUAACGGCCCACCAAGCCGACGAUCGGUAGCCGACCUGAGAGGGUGAUCGGCCACAUUGGGACUGAGACACGGCCCAGACUCCUACGGGAGGCAGCAGUGGGGAAUAUUGGGCAAUGGGCGCAAGCCUGACCCAGCAACGCCGCGUGAAGGAAGAAGGCUUUCGGGUUGUAAACUUCUUUUGUCAGGGACGAGUAGAAGACGGUACCUGACGAAUAAGCCACGGCUAACUACGUG
rnacentral:rRNA from 1 species